rnacentral:lncRNA from 1 species
GUUCAAGAAUCAAUGGGUACAACCUGAGCUAUUACUAUAUUGGGUACAUGAAACCUGAAAAUACCACCUGCUGUGUAGUCAGACAGGAACCCCACUGGAGUGAAUAAUAACGACAUUAACACCACCCAAAAACUUUCAACCCAAAAUUUGUCCUGUCUACUAGGAAUCCAGAGACAGGGGAGGAAGCACAGACAGAGGGAACAGCAAACCAAUAACCAGACCAACUUGAGCCCUAUCCUAUGGGCAAUCACCAAUUCCUAACACUACUAAUGAUUCUAUACUUGUAGAUAAGAGCAUGUUGUCCUCUGAGAGACUCUAUCAAGCAGCUGACUCAGACAGAUACAGACACCCACAGUCAAACAGUGGAUGAAAUUUUGGGUUCUGUUAUGGAAGUAUAGGAAGAAGGUGUGUGGGGUCCUGAGAUAAGAACUCCACAGGAAGUCCAACAGGGUCAACUAACCUGGACCCUUGGGGGCUCUCAGAGUCUGAAACACCAAGCAAAAACCAUACACAGGCUGCACCUGGCUUCCCUGCUUCAUGCAUAGCAGAUGUACAGUUUGACAUUCAUGUGGGCUCAUUCAUAACAUUUAAUUUCAUUCAAUUCUUCUUCAAAUCCUACUACAUAUGAUGAGGUAAUCCCCACUCUUCCUGAAGUCUCAAAUUAGUUCUUCCUUUGUGGAAGGCUUCCUG